rnacentral:rRNA from 1 species
AUUGAACGCUGGCGGCAGGCUUAACACAUGCAAGUCGAGCGGGGAAAGGUAGCUUGCUACCUGACCUAGCGGCGGACGGGUGAGUAAUGCUUAGGAAUCUGCCUAUUAGUGGGGGACAACGUCUCGAAAGGGAUGCUAAUACCGCAUACGUCCUACGGGAGAAAGCAGGGGACCUUCGGGCCUUGCGCUAAUAGAUGAGCCUAAGUCGGAUUAGCUAGUUGGUGGGGUAAAGGCCUACCAAGGCGACGAUCUGUAGCGGGUCUGAGAGGAUGAUCCGCCACACUGGGACGGAAACAGGGCCCAGACUCCUACGGAAGGCAGCAGGGGGGAAUUUGGGACAAUGGGGGGAACCCUGACCCCGCCAGCCCGCGUGUGGGAAAAAGGCUUUUGGGUUGUAAAGCCCUUUAAGGGGGGGGGGGGCUACCGGGAUUAAUCCUCUUGGAUAGGGGACGUUACCCGCAAAAAAAGCACCGGCUAACUCUGG